UCAUUAAAUCAGUUAUCGUUUAUUUGAUAGUACCUUACUACUUGGAUAACCGUGGUAAUUCUAGAGCUAAUACAUGCUGAAAACCCCAACUUCGGGAGGGGUGUAUUUAUUAGAUAAAAAACCAACGCCCUUCGGGGCUUCUUGGUGAUUCAUGAUAACUUCACGGAUCGCAUGGCCUUGCGCCGGCGACGGUUCAUUCAAAUUUCUGCCCUAUCAACUUUCGAUGGUAAGGUAUUGGCUUACCAUGGUUUCAACGGGUAACGGGGAAUUAGGGUUCGAUUCCGGAGAGGGAGCCUGAGAAACGGCUACCACAUCCAAGGAAGGCAGCAGGCGCGCAAAUUACCCAAUCCCGACACGGGGAGGUAGUGACAAUAAAUACUGAUACAGGGCUCUUUUGGGUCUUGUAAUUGGAAUGAGUACAAUUUAAACCUCUUAACGAGGAACAAUUGGAGGGCAAGUCUGGUGCCAGCAGCCGCGGUAAUUCCAGCUCCAAUAGCGUAUAUUAAAGUUGUUGCAGUUAAAAAGCUCGUAGUUGAAACUUGGGCCUGGCUGGCAGGUCCGCCUCACCGCGUGUACUUGUCCGGCCGGGCCUUUCCUUCUGGAGAACCUCAUGCCCUUCACUGGGUGUGUUGGGGAACCAGGACUUUUACUUUGAAAAAAUUAGAGUGUUCAAAGCAGGCCUUUGCUCGAAUACGUUAGCAUGGAAUAAUAGAAUAGGACGUGCGGUCCUAUUUUGUUGGUUUCUAGGACCGCCGUAAUGAUUAAUAGGGACAGUCGGGGGCAUCAGUAUUCAAUUGUCAGAGGUGAAAUUCUUGGAUUUAUUGAAGACUAACUACUGCGAAAGCAUUUGCCAAGGAUGUUUUCAUUAAUCAGUGAACGAAAGUUAGGGGAUCGAAGACGAUCAGAUACCGUCGUAGUCUUAACCGUAAACUAUGCCGACUAGGGAUCGGGCGAUGUUCUUUUUCUGACUCGCUCGGCACCUUACGAGAAAUCAAAGUUUUUGGG
rnacentral:rRNA from 1 species